rnacentral:lncRNA from 1 species
UGAAUCCAAUAUAACUUUAGGAUUUUUCCAUCUUUAACUUCCAUUGGUUCCCUUCAGGGGAAGUUCACUUGAAAAGCGAUUUGAGCUGAAAACCGUAUUCCAGAUCAAUUUGCAAUGCAUUGAGGUAUUAAAUGCAUUGCAUUUGAUUUAUAGCCUUGUUUACUCUGCAUCACCAAACCCUAGUGGGAUUCAGAGAGAAGCUGACCACAGCUGAAAAUACCCAGAUCUGGUUCACCUGAGGAGAGCUCCUAUUUGUAUGGAAAAGAAUAAGACAUUUCAAGAGUUCACAAAUAAAUGCAAGCAAAUAAAAAUCACCCAUUCCAUUUUAAUCCCUUGGUUUAGAAAAUGCCUUGACUAACUAUUUUUCUCUUUUCGGCUUGGUUAGGUGUCAGGGUAUACUUUUUUAUACACUUGGCCUUAGUCUCCAAUGUAUCCUACAAGUUGAGCAGAAGUAUUCUACAAAUCAUACAGAAGAGUGAGCUUUAAAGUUUAGACACUAGAGAGGGAAAAAUAUUAGGAAGGUGUAUUAGCUCAGAUUGUCAUAACAAAAUGUUAUAGGCGAGUGGCUUGAACAACAGAUUUAUUUUCCCACAGUUUUGGAGGCUAGAAGUUCCACAUCAGAAUUUGGCAGGGUCGGGUUGUGAUAUGGGUUCUCUUCCUGGCUUGCAGAUGGUUACCUUCUUGUUAUGUCUUUAUAUGGUUGGGGGAGAGAGAGAAAUCUGGUCUCUUUUCCUCUUAAAGGAACACCUAAUGACCUCAUUUAGCCUUAAUUGCUUCCUAAAGAUCUUUUCUCCAAAUACAGACACAUUAGAGGUCAGGGCUUCAACAUACGAAUUUGGAGGGGAGGGUGAGGACAUGGCUCAGUCCAUCACAGAACAUAUUUCUUUCUAAGAUGCUCCAACAGAUACCAUGCUAUUUUCCAAAAACUUGACUAAAAUCUGGUACGAACAAAGGAGAUUUACAUUGGUCUCAAGAACAUGGUAUUGUAUAAAAACGAAUAUAUUUUACAUACAAUCUUUUAAAAACAAUACCAUAAUCUUUUAAAAUGAAGGUGUUGGUUAUCAUUUGUCUCCUCUGCUAUACUGUACCUGGACAUUUUUCCUUCCUCAAUUUUAACUUAAAAGCCCUCUUGAGCAAUGUGGCAGAUAGCCUACUAAGCAUGUUCUUCUAGGUUUCAAUAAUAUUCAUCCUGUUCCUUGCCAAAAAUUCAUUUGUCCUAAUAUCCAAACUCGUUGUCCAGAAAAUGCAGUCUUUUCCUUUGGCUUUAUUUAGCCACUUUCUGAAUCCUUAUUAUGCUUCUGAAUUUAUUUCACCUGGAGGAAACCACCUGUUUGGCCCUUCAGUUUCCCCUAACUUGGACUCCUAAGAGAUUUGGAUUUGAUCUUCAGAGCUCAAGGGGUGGUGAUAUGACCUUUAAGUUUACAAGAGUAAUAUGUGAAGAAGACUUACUCCACUUGCCAACCCAGAAAUAAUGAAUUUUUUCUUACUUAACAUUGUGCUAGAUGCUUGGAACAAAAUAAAUACUCUCUCUGACCCCUAAA